rnacentral:misc_RNA from 1 species
ACUCUUUGCUAGUCCUUCAAUUCACCUGUUGCUUGGGUUAGUGGCAGCACUUCCCUCAGUCAUUGACUGACUUCAGAUUGGAAUUCAUUUUCUUCAAAUGAAAAAGACAGGUGAUCCAUGGUGCUACAAGCAUUCUCCAAAUAUAUUAUUCAAGUGAAUUACAACAACAUGAAGCAACAAUAAAAAAAAAUUAAAAAAAAGGUGAAGGAAGAGGAGGUAAGGAAAACACAGACAACAAGGGGGAAGUGGGAGUUUUGUCAUUCAACAUAUUCACUUUUAAUCUUUCAUGGGUUAUGACUGACAUCAGAGGCCAAAUUCAAUGCCAUAUCAAAUAAACUCUUAGGGCUGCAUCAGAGGAUGCAAAGGU